rnacentral:rRNA from 1 species
AUUGAACGCUGGCGGCAUGCCUUACACAUGCAAGUCGAACGGCAGCACGGGUGCUUGCACCUGGUGGCGAGUGGCGAACGGGUGAGUAAUACAUCGGAACGUACCUUAUCGUGGGGGAUAACGCAGCGAAAGCUGUGCUAAUACCGCAUACGCCCUGAGGGGGAAAGCGGGGGAUCGCAAGACCUCGCGCGAUUAGAGCGGCCGAUGCCUGAUUAGCUUGUUGGUGGGGUAAAAGCCCACCAAGGCGACGAUCAGUAGCUGGUCUGAGAGGACGAUCAGCCACACUGGGACUGAGAAACGGCCCAGACUCCUACGGGAGGCAGCAGGGGGGAAUUUUGGACAAUGGGGGCAACCCUGAUCCAGCAAUGCCGCGUGAGUGAAGAAGGCCUUCGGGUUGUAAAGCUCUUUUGUCAGGGAAGAAACACCGGCUCUAACACAGUCCGGGAAUGACGGUACCUGAAGAAUAAGCACCGGCUAACUACGUGCCAGCCGCCGCUGUAA